rnacentral:tRNA from 1 species
UGGGGAAUAGCUCAGUGGUAGAGCGCAUGCUUAGCAUGCACGAGGUCCUAGGUUCAAUCCCCAGUACCUCCU